rnacentral:lncRNA from 1 species
CCCAAAAAGACUUAAAGAAAAACAACAGUAUACAUAUCACAACAUAGAAAACUAAAGACUGACCAACACGAACCCCAUCAAAAACUGGUGGUAAUCUAAAGUGUUUGGUAAACAGCAUUCAUGAUGGAGGGAUUUUCCUUUUCUAGGUAUUUUCAAGCUUACUUGAGUUGAAAUUGAACGAUCAUAUCAAAAUCAAAACAACAUGAAAAUCAUUUGACGAAAAAAAUUCUUUAAAAUUAGACACGUGUUUUCAUAUUUUAAUAUAAUCAAAUCAAUAUUAUUGAUUCUAAAGACGCCCAAUAUAACAAAAUACAAAUAGUUAAACAAUGCAUACAUUCGAAUGUCAAUAAAACGAGCUAUGAGUGUUUGAAAGUCUACAAACGUAACAUUGCACUCAAAAGUUACCUUAGGAUUUACCAAAAGGUGUAGUUUCAUAUUCUCCUAUCAUUUGAAAUGCAGGUAUUAAAAUACAAGGACACUCAUGUCUUCAUAGCUUCAUACAAUUGCAAUUUCCAAAUGAUGCACAAUGAAAAGUCUGAUAUAAAAAUUACUUUUAUCUGUACCUGUACAAAAAUAAAACAAAAACAAAAAUCGGUCACGCUUUAAAAAAAUACAAAAAGCAUUUUGUUGACACAUAUUUAUAAGUUGAAAAAAUCAAACAAAUGCAAGUGCAACAUACAUAUUACUUGAGAAGUGGUUCAUAAAAACUAAUUUAUUAUGUUAAAAUGAAGAUAAGAUUGACCUGGAACCUCGUGCUUUGUACUUAGUAUUUAUACUUCA